CCCUAUACUGGGGCAUACCCCUUUCAUUGGCGGUUGAUCUUAGAGAUACUAGUUCACAUUGGGACGUGCUUUUUCUUUAGAGGAGGUCAGAUACUCUCUUCACAUUACCACGAUGGCUUUGAGGAGCAGAGGUUCACUUUGAUCAGAUGAUGUAUGAUUGGUUGUACUCCUCUCAUUGAUGUUUGAUUUGGAGAUGCUUACACUGGGGCAUGGCCCACUCGUC
rnacentral:lncRNA from 1 species